GAUGAAGAACGCAGCCAAAUGCGAUACUUGGUGUGAAUUGCAGAAUCCCGUGAACCAUCGAGUCUUUGAACGCAAGUUGCGCCCGAAGCCAUUAGGCCGAGGGCACGCCUGCCUGGGCGUCACACGUCGUUGCCCCCCCAUCUACUCCUUCGGGAUUGCGGGGGGCGGAUGAUGGCCUCUCGUGCGCCUCGUCGCGCGGUUGGCCUAAAUGCCAAGUCCUCGGCGACGCACGCCACGACAAUCGGUGGUUGCGAAACCUCGGUUGCCUGUCGUGUGCGGUCGUCGCGCAUCGAGGGCUCGAAAAAAUUGCCGGGCUUCGGCUCGACUUUCAACGCGACCCCAGGUCAGGCGGGGUUACCCGCUGAAUUUAAGCAUAUCAAUAAGCGGAGGA
rnacentral:misc_RNA from 1 species